UACGUAGGGGGCAAGCGUUAUCCGGAUUUACUGGGUGUAAAGGGAGCGUAGACGGAUGGACAAGUCUGAUGUGAAAGGCUGGGGCUCAACCCCGGGACUGCAUUGGAAACUGCCCGUCUUGAGUGCCGGAGAGGUAAGCGGAAUUCCUAGUGUAGCGGUGAAAUGCGUAGAUAUUAGGAGGAACACCAGUGGCGAAGGCGGCUUACUGGACGGUAACUGACGUUGAGACUCGAAAGCGUGGGGAGCAAACAGG
rnacentral:rRNA from 1 species